rnacentral:rRNA from 1 species
GAGACUGGGUGGUGGAUGACUUGGCUCAUGUGUUGUUUAGUAAGAAUACAGGUAACUGUAGGAAUUAUCUUGAAUGACAGGACACACUGAUCACUGAUGGUUUGAACACACUUGUGGCACUCGGUUCAUCUUGGGGCUAUGCUUAUCUGAACGUUG